CGAGUAAGCCAGACAGUCGCGGGGACAAGGCGAAAGCCUGUUCAUGAGGAAAGUCCGGGCUCCACAGGGCAAGGAUAACGGGUAACGCCCGCCGAAGGCGACUUCAGGAAAAGUGUAACAGAGAUAUACCGCCCCUUUGGGGGUAAGGGUGGAAAGGCGAGGUAAGAGCUCACCCAUCGGCUCGAGAGUGUCCGAUGCUGUAAACUCUAUCCGGAGCAACACCGGUAUGGGAGCAAUAGGGCGGCCCGUCCGCUCCCGAGGUGGCUGAAGCGCACCGGCAACGGCGCGCUUAGAUAGAUGACUGUCAAAUACAGAACCCGGCUUACAGACUUGCUCGCGCA
rnacentral:RNase_P_RNA from 1 species